ACGAAUUAAGUUCUUAACCCAAGGUACCACUGUACUGUGCAGUGGUACCUGGAUUAAGUACUUAAUUCGU